UGAAAAUGCUUAUAAAUGGUUGUGUCUCGCAUGGUUAUUGUACGAAGUAAUAAUCACCUAUUUUCCAUAAAAAUGGUAGCAUUGUAAUAAUUGUCUAUUGUGUAUUCGGACCUUGGAUAAGUAGGACCUGCACCAAUUGGUAUAUACGAAUAUGUGCGCAAACGUCACUUAAGGAAAGGGCAUUAAGAGGUAUUGUACAAUACAUAUAUAAGGCUUAUUUUACGAUCUGAAAUAAGGGAUUUCGAUUUGGCUCACCUAUAGUAUACAUAUAUUGGGAAUUUUUAAGUACACUGUAAACUUCAUGCAAUGUCACUCGAUUAAACAUCGAAAUGUCUAAACAUUGAAAUUCCUCGACCGAGUUUGGAUAGGGGCAACCGAGCCUAGCCAAUGGGAUGCCCAAAAAAAGGUCAGCCACCAAAUGUGCCGGACCGAGGAAGACUUACAGCCAUCAAGGUGAUGCGGAUGAAAUUUUUAUUUCAGAGAGAGAUCAAACCAAACUACUCUUCAGAACUCUCUCCAGAGAACACUUUGUACGUUAGAAUAAGCAAAGAGUCUCAAUGUCUCUGCGUAGAGAGAGAGAAUCAAGCCGAUCAGUAUAACGUUCGAGAUUGACAAUUCCACAAGCCCUUCACUGAAGUUCAAAGAAGAACCGAAACUCUUCGAAAAAAAAUCUUUUACUGCUUGUAGAGUAGCUACGUUGUUAAUUAUGUUUGUAAUCCAUGAUUAUUUGAACUACAACUAUAUAAAUUGAACCAUUGUUUUCGCAUGGUUGAGUAACGAACAGUUCAUCUCAAGUGCCGUUCGGGUUUCCUCUACGAUAAAUUAUACUUUUUCAAACGCUGACACGUCAAUAAGUUCUAACGGAUCACUCGAAGUAAUAAUUACAGACUUCGUCGAAUGGCGGCUUCCUUGUUUAUAAGUCAGAACGUAUUGGGAAACA